CACUGCCUGCUUUCCUGGAGAGCAGAGCUGCUUUCAGCCAGGAUGGCAAUGGGAAAGCCUUCACUUCAGCAUAAUGUGCUCAUAAAACACAACAGCAGUACAAUGUGGAGAGGGAUAAAUUAAAAAUUAAUGGGCCCUGCCAGAGCUUGCAUUUCUCUGAGCCAGUAGAUGAUGGAAGAAAAGAGUGUUCUCCCUCCAUCCCAGAGCACGGGCUACAUGAAACCAGUAAAUAGCCGUGGGAAUGCGUCAUUCUAGAGAUCUGAAUCCAGCUUGUACUCAGGUGGGAGUUGCAACCAGCGCCUUCUAUAAGAACCUCUACACCUUCCCAAGAGCCCUUUUCCUGUAGAAUAACAACCCC